rnacentral:rRNA from 1 species
CGUGGGGAACCUGCCCCAUAGUCUGGGAUACCACUUGGAAACAGGUGCUAAUACCGGAUAAGAAAGCAGAUCGCAUGAUCAGCUUUUAAAAGGCGGCGUAAGCUGUCGCUAUGGGAUGGCCCCGCGGUGCACUAGCUAGUUGGUAAGGUAAAGGCUUACCAAGGCGAUGAUGCAUAGCCGAGUUGAGAGACUGAUCGGCCACAUUGGGACUGAGACACGGCCCAAACUCCUACGGGAGGCAGCAGCA